CGCUAGCUACAGGCUUAACACAUGCAAGUCGAGGGGCAGCAUGAAGUUUGCUUGCAAACUUUGAUGGCGACCGGCGCACGGGUGAGUAACACGUAUCCAACCUGCCGAUAACUCGGGGAUAGCCUUUCGAAAGAAAGAUUAAUACCCGAUGGCAUGGAAAGUCCGCAUGGUCUUUCCAUUAAAGAACUUCGGUUAUCGAUGGGGAUGCGUUCCAUUAGAUAGUAGGCGGGGUAACGGCCCACCUAGUCAACGAUGGAUAGGGGUUCUGAGAGGAAGGUCCCCCACAUUGGAACUGAGACACGGUCCAAACUCCUACGGGAGGCAGCAGUGAGGAAUAUUGGUCAAUGGACGAGAGUCUGAACCAGCCAAGUAGCGUGAAGGAUGACUGCCCUAUGGGUUGUAAACUUCUUUUAUACGGGAAUAAAGUGUUCCACGUGUGGAAUUUUGUAUGUACCGUAUGAAUAAGGAUCGGCUAACUCCGUGCCAGCAGCCGCGGUAAUACGGAGGAUCCGAGCGUUAUCCGGAUUUAUUGGGUUUAAAGGGAGCGUAGGUGGAAGAUUAAGUCAGCCUGUGAAAGUUUGCGGCUCAACCGUAAAAUUGCAGUUGAUACUGGUUUUCUUGAGUGCAGUAGAGGUGGGCGGAGUUCGUGGUGUAGCGGUGAAAUGCUUAGAUAUCACGAAAAGGUCCGAUUG
rnacentral:rRNA from 1 species